rnacentral:snRNA from 1 species
ACACUCUGGUUUCUUUUCAAAUCAUAUAAAUCUUUCACCUUUUACUAAAGAUUUCCAUGGAGAGAAAGUAGUACGUGCUACUCCUGGAGUUGGCC